rnacentral:rRNA from 1 species
GAUGAACGCUAGCGGCAGGCCUAACACAUGCAAGUCGAGCGGAUGAAGAGAGCUUGCUCUCUGAUUUAGCGGCGGACGGGUGAGUAAUGCCUAGGAAUCUGCCUGGUAGUGGGGGAUAACGUUCCGAAAGGAACGCUAAUACCGCGUACGUCCUACGGGAGAAAGCAGGGGACCUUCGGGCCUUGCGCUAUCAGAUGAGCCUAGGUCGGAUUAGCUAGUUGGUGAGGUAAUGGCUCACCAAGGCGACGAUCCGUAACUGGUCUGAGAGGAUGAUCAGUCACACUGGAACUGAGACACGGUCCAGACUCCUACGGGAGGCAGCAGUGGGGAAUAUUGGACAAUGGGCGAAAGCCUGAUCCAGCCAUGCCGCGUGUGUGAAGAAGGUCUUCGGAUUGUAAAGCACUUUAAGUUGGGAGGAAGGGCAGUAAGUUAAUACCUUGCUGUUUUGACGUUACCGACAGAAUAAGCACCGGCUAACUUCGUGCCAGCAGCCGCCGUAACAC